GCGGCUUUCGUAUAGUGGUUAUUACAGCUCGUUGUGGUUACCUUGUCCUGGAUACAGCAAGUGCUGUUGCCGAGCAAACGGAUGUUCGAUUCCUCCAGGCCGCA
rnacentral:tRNA from 1 species